GCCUGGGUGGCUCAAUCAGUUGGGCAUCCGACUUCAGCUCGGGUCAUGAUCUCACGGUUUGUGGGUUUGAACCCUAUGUCGGGCU
rnacentral:tRNA from 1 species